AGGUAUUCUGUCUGCCAUAUGCAUGAGAUCCUUCAGCUAUUAAAUGUCCCUGCGAAGUCUGGCAUUAGAGGAAACUGAGAGUGGAUGAACUUCAUGGUGUCAUCAGGGCCUGCCUGACCUGCGGAUUCUGUGCACUGUGGCACUGUAUUCCAAAGGCCCUGACUGACAGGGGCCCUCAAAAAAUAUUAAAAGAGGAUUAAUAACCUAUAUGGAGAUCUUUCCAUGGGGCCCAAAAUCCCUGUUUGCACCUCUUUCUGUGCAGUUACAAAAGAGGAUCAAGCCACAGGCACAGAGAAGGCUGUGUCUAUGAUCACAUCAUCAACCACCUGAAAAUGUUUUUUGUCUGAUUCUGAAUUCUGAUUUGUCUGACAGAGAAAAUAAAUCUAAGCCAAUUACACAUCCAUAACUUUUAUUGAAAUGGAAUGAUGUUAAAUCAAACAGGAACUGUACAAUACUGUACCAAGGAUUCAUUUAUUUUGACAUGCUAUCUUUAAGAACCACUACUGUAUUUUUAGCUGCAGCAAACACAAAAUGUAUUUGCUUCUGGGUUUUCAGAAUGUUGAAAAAUGUAUAUAUUGUACUGUAUUCCAUCAAGCUGCUCUGAUAG